rnacentral:misc_RNA from 1 species
AUGAAAAGAACUUUGAAAAG